UACAUCUAGAUGUUACCAGCAAAACGCCGGCGCCUCAUGCGCACUGAGGGAUGAAAACCAAGAGAUGUAUGGUAUUGUGAUGGACAAUGAUGGAGCAGGUGUUUGGGGAAACAUGAAUGGAAAGCUUCAGGGCAAAUUUGUCGGCCACCAGAACAUCACCAUUAUUGUCAAUGGCGCAUUUGGCAGAUCUGAAAGCCUAAGG